rnacentral:rRNA from 1 species
UAGGGAACUUCCACAAUGGACGAAAGUCUGACGGAGCAACGCCGCGUGAGUGAUGAAGGCCUUCGGGUUGUAAAGCUCUGUCUUCUGGGACGAUAAUGACGGUACCAGAGGAGGAAGCCACGGCUAACUACGUGCCAGCAGCCGCGGUAAUAA